AUACAUUUAUUUGAAAAGUAUAUUCAUUAACUAUUGGAUUAACUGCACUACAUCUAUCCCUGAGAUCAUAUUGUUAUUUUUUUCAAAUCUUUUCCAGCCUUACUAAUAAUUUGUAUGCUUGAGUAGUUAUUUAGAGAAUGAUAUUCAAUUUCUCAUUAUGGCUACAGACUUGUCAUUUUAUUCUUCUAAUUCUGUCCAUUUUUGGCCUCGUUAAUAAGUCUUUCUUACAUAUUGUCUUUGGAGUUUUCAUUUUGUAAUUUGCAGUAGUGUUGUUUUCCUCUAAUAAAGCUAUGUUAGACCCAAAUAACACUGGGUCUAACAAAAUAUUAUAUUAGCUUUCUUUUUAUUAGUGUUUGCCUCCUUUUUUAACUUUUAAUCUCUGUGCCCUAAUGUUUCGCGCAUACCUGUUAUAAGUAAAAUCUAGGUAAAUUUUUAAAAAUCUGACAAUAUUAGUUUUUAGUUUGGUAAAUUAGUGUAUUUUACAUUUUUGAAAACUGAUAUUUGGGUGUUUUUCUAUCAUCUUAUUUUUGCUUGUUAUUUUACUUUUUCUUAGAACUUCCUUGUCCUUUUCUGCCUUCCAUUAACUUGAGGUUUUUUUCCAAUUUAAAUUUUUUUUAUAUUGAGUAUUGAGGGAAUAAAAAAGAACAUCUACAAAAUAUAUGAAAGCUAUUCCUUUCUCUUGAUUUUAAUACUGUGAUUAAAUACAGUAAUCAAUUUAUUAAUAUUAGAUGAAUCUUGUAAAAAUUGAGAGAUAUGUCAAACCUUUUCCAAAUAGGUUGGUGGUAAACUUGUCUCCUUUUAGUUCUGUCAGUUUUUACUUUAUUUAUUUUUACACCCUCUUAUUAUGUGCAUUUUCAAAUAUCUUAUCUUUCUAGUGAAAAGAACUUUUAUACUUACAUGACGGUCUUUAUCUUAAGUUUUAAUUCCAGUCACUCUAUACCCUCAUUAUAGGUUUCUGCUCUCAUAAAUGUUAGCUCUACUUUUUUUUUUUUUUUUUUUGAGACAGAGUGUCCCUUUGUCGCCCUGGCUGGAGUGUGCAGUGGUGCUAUCCCAACUCACUGCAACCUCUGCCCACUGGGUUCACGCCAUUCUCCUGCCUCAGGCUCCCAAGUAGCUGGGACUACAGGUGCGCACCACUACGCCCGGCUAAGUUUUGUAUUUUUAGUAGAGAUGGGGUUUCACCAUGUUGGCCAGGCUAGUCUUGAACUCGUGACCUCAAGUGAUCUGACUUCCUCAGCCUCCCAAAGUUCUGGGAUUACAGGCGUGAGCCAACAUGCCCAGCCUCUACUUGUUUUUAACAACACAAUAUUUUACUAGUAUCGUCUUGCACAAUUUUCUUUAGAUUUAUACACCAUUUUACCAUUUUGUCUAUGUCUCAUUCAUUCUUACAUUUCAGAUCUUCCACUUGAAAUUACUCUCUUUUGCCUAAAGUAUAUAUUUUCUGAAUUUUCUUUAGCAAAGAUUGGCUAGUAUCAAAUUGUCUCCAUUACUAAUAUCUAAAAAUGUCUUUUUUCUCUUCUUGUUUUCAUAAAAUACUUUUGAUGAAUUCUGGUUGACAGUUGUUUUUUCUCAGUACAUUGAGGAUAUAAUCCCAUAGUUUAUCAGCUUCUACUGUUUGUGUCAAGAAAUUGGCUGUCAGUCUAACAGCUGUUUCUUUGAUGAUAACCUGAUUUUUUUUUCCCCUUGGCUGUUUUUAAAAUCUUCUCCUUGAUCUUACUGUUUUAUAGUUUCACAGUGAUGUUCCUGGCAGUUAAUUUCUUUAUUUCUCCUUCUUAUGAUUCGAUUGAGAUUCUUGAAUUUGUAGAUUAGUGCCUUUCAGAAAAGUUGUCAGCCAUUAUCCCUACUCCAUUCUUUGUCUCUUCUCCUAAAUUUUGAUUAGUCAUAAUUUAGAUUUUUUCAUUUCAUUUCCCAUGUUCCUUAAUCACUUUGACAUUUUCCAUAUAUUUGUUACAACAUUCCAUUACACAUUUCUUCAGAUAUAUCUUUUAAUUCACAUAGUUUCCCUUAGCUGUUUCUUAUCUCAGUUAAACCUGUUCUUGGAGCUUUAAAUUUUAGCUAUGGUAGUUUAAUUACUAGAAACUGGUUUUUCUUCAAAUCUAUUUGCUGCUGUUUUCAAACCUCUCCUUUAUUCUUAAAACAUUUUAAGUAAAUU
rnacentral:lncRNA from 1 species